GCGGAGGGAUCAUUACAGAGUUGCAAAACUCCCUAACCCAAUGUGAACGUUACCUAAAACUGUUGCCUCGGCGGGAUGCUCUGCCCCGGCGUGCGCCGAAGCCAGGGCCCCAACGGGCGCCCGCCGGAGGACCAACCAAAACUCUUUUUGUAUACCCCCUCGCGGGUAUUUUAUCAUCUGAGCCUUCUCGGAGCCUCUCGUAGGCGUUUCGAAAAUAAGUCAAAACUUUCAACAACGGAUCUCUUGGUUCUGGCAUCGAUGAAGAACGCAGCGAAAUGCGAUAAGUAAUGUGAAUUGCAGAAUUCAGUGAAUCAUCGAAUCUUUGAACGCACAUUGCGCCCGCCAGUAUUCUGGCGGGCAUGCCUGUCCGAGCGUCAUUUCAACCAUCGAAGCCCUCAGGCGGGUCGUCGUUGGGGACCUGCGGUCCCUUAGCCGCAGGCCGUCUCCGAAAAGCAGUGGCGGGCUCGCCGUCAGCAUCUCGAGCGUAGUAGAUUGCACACUCGCUUAGGGCGUGCGGCGCGGCGCCGGCCGUUAAAAACCCAACGUACCCCAAGGUUGACCUCGGAUCAGGUAGGAAUACCCGCUGAACUUAAGCAU
rnacentral:rRNA from 1 species